ensembl:lncRNA
GCUGACGUUACAUCAAGCUUUGCAAAGGAUGGAAUUUUACGAGAUUAGAACACAUUAGUUGUCCUUAUCAGCGCCAAGUGAAUAGCCUGCACCUCUUCUCUCUGGAAUGUUAUAGAAGUGAUCGUUUGUUACUGGUUGUAUGCGGCACUUUGAGGUGCAUCUGAACUUGAUUGCUUUAGGUGAAAUAAAUGCACAAGAAAUGGUCUCUACUCGGUCAGAGACUGGAAAAUAAGAGAAGUUACGUACCUUUGGUUGCAGGACAGGUGAAUGUCCCUGGCGAAACACAGCAUCCCUCACGCGUCCAUCAGCGCAUCAUGCUGUUGGUGCGUAAUCUACUUUUUCACUAUGGCAACAAAUGAACCCCACCGUCCUCUCCCUCUCCGCCUCCAAUGAGGAUGCUGCGAUGGCGUCACAGGAUCCUCUGAAGGACACAUGGAGACCUGCCGGCCAGCAUGUACCUGGCCUUCCUCCUCAGACUAUAUAAUAUCACAGAGACUAAAGCUGGUGAUGCAGUCCAGGUCAUGAAGUCAGAUAUUCAAUCAAACAGCCAACAAAGUGGUGCCUAUCUAUGAGAGCUGCAGGAUGAAUUUAAUCUAACCCGGCUUCUAACACUGUAAUAUAUUUUCAUCUUAGAUCAAAGGUUAUGAGUUGUUAUAGAUCUCUUACAUACACAUAUGUUACUACUAUUGUCUAUCAGAGUAUCUCCAUGCACAUGUAAAUAGUUUGUUGAUCACUUGCAUAGACAUCAACAAUGCAUGAAGACUCCGACCCAGUUUCUGUCAGCUGUCGCUUUACAACAUGCCUUUGAUUUUCUGAAUAGAGAGAUUUAAAAUAAAUGAAAUACCCGAAUAAUCUGUCAUCUCAUUUCCAUGGCAACCGUUCACUGCUGUAGUAAAAUAGGCAGCCAAUCAAGUCAAUCGCUCGCUCGCUCUCCCCCGCUCUCUCACACACAGAAACACACACACAUACACACACACACACACACACGCGCGCACACACAUAUUCCACUCUUUGAUGCUACAGAAGGAAACUUGAAACGUGAUUGAUGCAAAUUUGCGUCAAAAUGUAAUUCAAUAUUGAAACAUGAGCUUGAUUGAAGAAUUGGAUUGGAAGGUCCGAUAAAUCAUCCAGUUAGUGUCACAGUCGGUAAAUCAAUUAUUCAAUGGCAUUUCUAAAUAACAGUGGAUACCUAUGGUUGCCAUGGACACGUAGAUGAAUUACAGGGUUGUCAGUUGUCGGUGAUACUCCUACACUAAGUAGGACAAAUAGAGAACAAAUAAUGCCAACACAGAAAUGAGGACAUCCGUUAUGAAACAUUCUCUCCCGUGUAAUGUGAUUCCUGCGUCAGUGAACAUGUAAAUACUGGGAUAUUGUCAUUUGUUUGUUUUAAUUGAACUAAACAUCUCGAUUGUGACAUGUGGUAAACAUCUAAGCUCCGCCAUUCAUUGCUAAUAACCUUCAUCAUCUUGUCUGUGUUUCACUUGUCAUCAUCAGGUAUUGACACUUACUAAACGGAGUUCAUGAUUUACAUUUUAGCUACAUUUUAACAAUGUCAUGAUGGCAAAGGCAGGUUUGUCCACCUACUUCAACAGUUUUGCCACUCUACUCCACUAGUUAAAACUAGAUAAAACACAAUGUAAUCACGUGGAAAAAAAAGUCUUGAUUUAUACCUAUUUAUAAAACUAGUUAUGAAUCAUCCUCAAAAGAGAAC